AUGGCCACCUCAAGUUCCCACUUGAACAGAGGGGUCAAACAAGAAACAAGUUCCUGAUUCAGGGUGGGUGCUGUGGUUUGUGUCCCCUUUAAGAUUUGGGUAUUGAAACUUAAAGACAGUGUGUGAUAGUAUUAAGGGUGAAGACUUUAACAGGCAAUUUGGCAGUGGGGGCUCAGGCCCUCAUGAGUGGGGCUUCAUAGAAGAUUUGGCUCUUUUGCUCUGUCCACUGAGUGAGGACACAGCAACAAGGCACCAUCUUGGAAUCAGAGCAGCCCUUAUACAAUUGAAUCUGAUUCCUUAGCAUCGGAUUUCCUAGCCUUCAGAACUGUAUGAGAAGUUGUCCUAAGUCACCCGGUCUGAAACAUCCUGUUAUAGCAGCCAAAAUGGACUAAGACAGUGGGAAAGUCCAAGCCAUGUAUGUUUGGAUUGAUGGCAUCAGAAGAGGAUCAUGCUAUGAGGUCCACCCCCAGGACAGCAGGCCCAAGUGUGUACAGUGAGUGGAGUUGAUGGCUCUAGUGCUUUUCAAUCUGAAGCCUGUAACAGUGACAUCUCAUCCCUGCUGCCAUUUUGGGACUCUUCCUACAAGGACCCUAGCCAGCUGGUGUUCUGUGAAGUCUAAGUAUACCCCAAAACCUAUGAAAGGUCAGUUUAAGACACGCCUGUAAAUAGGUAAAGACAUGGUGAACAACCAGCAUCCCUGAUUUGGAAUGCAACAGGAAUAUAUUUCUUAUAGCAGAUGGGCAUCCCUUCAGUUUGCCUUCCAAUGAAUUCCCUGGGUCCCAAGGUUCAUAUUGCUGCAGUGCAAAAGUAGACGUACUACCACAAGAAUAUCAAGGAGGCUCACUACCAAGUCUAUUUAUAUAUGGGCAUGAGGAUGCAUGCCAAGGUCAUGAAAGCCCAGUGGGAAUUUGAUAGAGAAAUGUGGAACAAUUACAUAGUGAGAUCCUCUCAGGGUAGUCCAUUUCAUCUUGCAUUGUGUGAAGACUUUGGAGCAAUAGAUUAGGAUCAAAGGUGGUUAUUCUUGGUAACUAGAAUAGUGCAGGAGGUCAUCCCAACUUCAGCACCAAGGCCAUGCAAGAGAAGGUUGAAGUACAUUGAGGCAGCCAUUGAAAGACUAAGCCACUGAUAUCAGUGGCCAGAUUCAGGUUUAUGAUCCCAAGGUGGUCCUGGACAAUACCAAAUGCCUAGCCAGAUUCACAAAACCCGCAGCCAUUAACUUCCCUGCUGGCAUGGUCACCCAUGGGGCCUGCGUCCCCCUUCCCUGGGCCAUUGACCAGGAGAAUGUUAACUGAAGACCAUCUGUGGUCACAUCUGUGAGCUCUUCAGUGACAGAAGCCCUCAUUUACACAUCAAUGAUGCCAGCAUUGAACUCUUCCAAUACGGAAGCUGA
rnacentral:lncRNA from 1 species